rnacentral:tRNA from 1 species
AUAGGGAUGUGGCUUAGUUGGUAGAGAGCUUACUUAGCAUCUCAGAAGCUGUGGGUUCGAUCCCCAGACCCUAUA